ACUAAUGAUCUUACAGGAGGCGGGACUUCAUGCUUUAGUGUGUGGGUUGAAGCCAUAACCAGGCUAAUGUCCCCGUCUAUAGAUUCAUGCUAACACAAUGGAGUCUGUGAGUGUAAACAUUUAAAGCUAUUGCACACUUUUCUGGGUCUAAAGUGGUAAAUCAUGGCGGUUCCCAUGGAAACUCAGCUCCAGAGUAUAUUCGAGGAUGUAGUGUAUUGCCUCCUCCAGUGCCUUGGCCAGCGGUGUCCCCCUUGAAGAUAUUUGUGCUGCAGCAGAAACUCUUUUCUGUUCUGUGGAUCUGGUGAUGAAAUGAUCUGAACUGCUGCAGCUGUGGAGAGAAAAAUGACAGAAAUAACAGACAUUUAAACGUAUUUAUAACAAAAAGCAGGAGCAGCUCCUCUUACCAUGUGGAGGGAUUUUGUUGAAUUCCUCCUCACAGAAUUCCUCCAAUCUCUUCUUCAGAUCUGAGAGAGAAUUCUUCACUCCAUCAAAUAACAGAUGUUGAGAGAUCCUGAUGCUGGAC